GUAACAGUCUGGUGAGAGGACUUGAUGUUGAGAAAGGUUAUCACAUGGGAUCAGAAAGCUUUAUUUAAUUUGGUUUGCACACUGAGCAUUAAUCAUUGAAAGACGUCCGACACCAUACAUUUCACAAUACUAUUAUUAAGACUUAUAUUCUUGUUCCAGGAUGGGGAAAACGUGGAUGUCAUUCUCACUGCAUGCAGCGCUGGUCUUCCUACCAUGUAAGAGAUACAGCGGAAGCAUUGAUGGGAAGGAUUUUCUGAGAGGUGCAGGAGAAUAAGUGAUGGGGAGGCUGUGUGAGAGGUACAGGGGAAUCACUGAUGGUGCAAGUUCAUGAGAUAGCUUAGAGGAGCAAGAAAUGAGAGAAGCCAUGUAUGAAGUAUGGGGAUGCAAAAAUAGGCAAAAGGGUAAGGGUGAUGAAAAUUUAGUUAAACCUCUACAAUAAGUUGAGACCGGGUGAUAUUUAACAAUGAAUACAUUUGGAAUAUCCUUUUUUAGUCAUUGACAUCCUUCAUUUUAAUAUUUGAUACGCAAUUUAUUGUUUGCCCAUCAAUGUAUCAAAAAUAAACACUGGAUCUGAUGUUUUACAUACCUUUAUGUUGAUUGAUCUUUCUGUGUGUUCUGUUAGGUCUGUGUCUUGGGGUGAAGGUUGAACAGGGUUCUAAACUAAUAAUCGUUCAGGCUGGGGGCCCAGUUGAGCUUCAAUGUAAACACGAUGACACCAGCAUGCUUGCUAUGUAUUGGUAUCAACAGAAACCAG